rnacentral:rRNA from 1 species
CCAAUAGCGUAUAUUAAAGUUGUUGCAGUUAAAAAGCUCGUAGUUGAAUUUCGGGAUCAGUUGGUCGGUCGUGCCUCGGUACGUACUGGUCAAAUUGAUUCCUACCUUCUGACGAACCACGAUGUCAUUAAUUUGGUGUCGUGGGAAAUCAGGACUGUUACUUUGAAAAAAUUAGAGUGUUUAAAGCAGGCUCGCGCUUG